AGCACCCUGUGUCUAGCCCAGGGUUUGUGAGUGCACCAAUUGACACUCUGUAUCUAGCUGCUCUGGUGGGGCCUUGGAAAACCUUUGUGUCGAUACUCUCUAUCUAACUGAUCUGAUGGGGACGUGGAGAACCUUUAUGUCUAGCUCAGGGAUUGUAAAUGCACCAAUCAGCGCUCUGUCAAAACAGACCACUGGGCUCUACAAAUCAGCAGGACGUGGGUGGGGCCAGAUAAGAGAAUAAAAGCAGGCUGCCCGAGCCAGCAGUGGCAACCCGCUCGGGUCCCCUUCCACACUGUGGAAGUUUUGUUCUUUUGCUCUUUGCAAUAAAUCUUGCUACUGCUCACUCUUUGGGUCCACACUGCUUUUAUGAGCUGUAACACUCACUGUGAAGGUCUGCAGCUUCACUCCUGAAGCCAGUGAGACCAUGAGCCCACCGGGAGGAACAAACAACUCCAGACAUGCCACCUUAAGAGCUGUAACACUCACUGUGAAGGUCUGCAGCUUCAUUCCUGAGCCAGCGAGACCAUGAUCCCACCAGAAGGAAGAAACUCCGAACACAUCCGAACAUCAGAAGGAACAAACUCCGGACAUGUUGCCUUUAGAACUGUAACACUCACUGUGAGGGUCUGAAGCUUCAUUAUUGAAGUCAGUGAGACCAAGAACCCACCAAUUCCGGACACAUUUUGGCGACCACAAAGGGACUUUUGCCUAUCACCAAGUGGUGAGACAAUCGCCAAGUGCUGAGACCAUCGCCUAUCGCCGAGUGGUGAGACCAUCGCCUAUCGCCAAGUGCUGAGACCAUCGCCUAUCGCCGAGUGGUGAGACCAUCGCCUAUCACCAAGUGCUGAGACCAUCGCCUAUCGCCAAGUGCUGAGACCAUCGCCUAUCGCCGAGUGGUGAGACCAUCGCCUAUCGCCAAGUGCUGAAACCAUCGCCUAUCGCCGAGUGGUGAGACCAUUGCCUAUCGCUGAGCGGUGAGACCAUCACCUGUAGCUGAGUGGUGAGACCAUCACCUAUCGCCAAGCAAAUCGAGGCCAUCAAGCUACAGAUGGUCUUACCAAUGGAACCCCAAAUGAGUUCAACUAACAACUUCUACCGAGGACCCCUGGACUGACCCGCUGGCACUUCCCUUGGCCUAGAGAAUUCCCCUCUGAAGGACACUACAACUGCAGGGCCCCUUUUUCACCCCUAUCCAGCAGGAAGUAGCUAGAGAGGUCAUCGGCCAAAUUCCCAACAGCAGUUGGGGUGUCCUGUUUAGAGGGGGGAUUGAGAGGUGACAGCGUGCUGGCAGUCCUCACAGCCCUCGCUUGCUCUCGGCGCCUCCUCUGCCUGGGCUCCCACUUUGGUGGCACUUGAGGAGCCAUUCAGCCCACCGCUGCACUGUGGGAGCCCCUUUCUGGGCUGGCCAAGGCGGGAUCCGGCUCCCUCAGCUUGCAGGGAGGUGUGGAGGGAGAGGUGCGAGUGGGAACCGGGGCUGUGCGCGGUGCUUGCGGGCCAGCUGGAGUUCUGGGUGGGCAUGGGCUUGGCGGGCCACUCACUCAGAGCAGCCGGCCGGCCCUGCUGGCCCCUGGCAAUGAGGGGCUUAGCACCCAGUCCAGUAGCUGCAGAGGGUGUGCUGGGUCCCCCAGCAGUGCCAGCCCACUGGUGCUGCACUCAAUUUCUCACCAGGCCUUAGCUGCCUUCCCACGGGGCAGGGUUCAGGACCUGCAGCCCACCAUGCCUGAGCCUCCCACCCCCUCCAUGGGCUCCUGUGUGGCCCAAGCCUCCCCGAUGAGCACCACCUCCCGCUCCACAGCGCCCAGUCUCAUCGACCACCCAAGGGCCGAGGAGUGCGAGUGCAUGGCACAGGACUGGCAGGCAGCUCUACCUGCGGCCCCAGUGCAAGAUCCACUGGGUGAAGCCAGCUGGGCUCCUGAGUCUGGUGGAGAUGUGGAGAACCUUUAUGUCUAGCUCAGGGAUUGUAAAUACACCAAUCAGCACCCUGUGUCUAGCUCAGGGUCUGUGAAUGCACCAAUCGACACUCUGUAUCUAGCUGCUCUGCUGGGGCCUUGGAGAACCUUUAUGUCUAGCUCAAGGAUUGUAAAUACACCAAUUGGCACUCUGUAUCUAGCUCAAGAUUUGUGAACACACCAAUCAGCACCCUGUGUCUAGCUCAGGGUUUGUGAGUGCACCAAUCGACACUCUGUAUCUAGCUGCUCUGGUGGGGCCUUGGAGAACCUUUGUGUUGAUACUCUCUAUCUAACUGAUCUGAUGGAGACGUGGAGAACCUUUAUGUCUAGCUCAGGGAUUGUAAACGCACCAAUCAGAGCCCUGUCAAAACAGACCACUGGGCUCUACAAAUCAGCAGGAUGUGGGUGGGGCCAGAUAAGAGAAUAAAAGCAGGCUGCCCGAGCCAGCAGUGGCAACCCGCUUGGGUCCCCUUCCACACUGUGGAAGCUUUGUUCUUUUGCUCUUUGCAAUAAAUCUUGCUACUGCUCACUCUUUGGGUCCACACUGCUUUUAUGAGCUGUAACACUCACUGCGAAGGUCUGCAACUUCAUUCCUGAAGCCAGUGAGACCACGAGCCCACUGGGAGGAACGAACAACUCCAGACGUGCCACCUUAAGAGCUGUAACACUCACUGUGAAGGUCUGCAGCUUCACUCCUGAGCCAGUGAGACCAUGAACCCCACCAGAAGGAAGAAACUCCGAACACAUCCGAAUAUCAGAAGGAACAAACUCCGGACACGCCACCUUUAGAACUGUAACACUCACUGUGAGGGUCCGCGGCUUCAUUCCUGAAGUCAGUGAGACCAAGAACCCACCAAUUCCGGACACAGAAGGAAGGAAGGAAGGAAGAAAGGAAGGAAGGAAGGAAGGAAGGAAGGAAGGAAGGAAGGAAGGAAGGAAGGAAGGAAGGAAGGAAGAAAAGAAGAAAGAAAGAAAGAAAGAAAGAAAGAAAGAAAGAAAGAAAGAAAGAAAGAAAGGAAGAAAGGAAAGGAAGAGAGAAAGACAGAAAGAAAGAAAAGAAAAGGAAAGGAAAGAAAAGAAAAGAAAAGGAAAGAAAAGAAAAGAAAAGGAAAGAAAAGAAAAGAAAAGGAAAGGAAAGAAAAGACAAGACAAGACAAGACAAGACAAGACAAGACAAGACAAGACAAGACAAGACAGACAGGCAUCUUGAGGUCAGAUCCCUGGCUAACAAAUUCCUGAAGAGUGGAAAGAAAUAAUGCUCCAACUCUGGUCAGAAGUUCCCAUAGAGAACAGUUUUCUAUGUUGCAUAAUAAAUUACCACAAGCUUAGCGGCUUCAAGCAACGCACAUUUCUUAUCUCUGAAUUUCUGUGCAUCCGAAUUGUACACAUGACCUAGCUGGGUCCUCUUGUCUGAGGUCAUGUAAAGCUGCUGUCAGGGUGUCAGCAGGACUGUGUUUUCAUCAGAGGCUUUAAGAAUCUGCUCCAGACUUGGGUUUUGACAGAAUUUAUCUCCCGGUGGUUGUGGGACAGAGGCCCCUAUUUCUCACUGGCUGUUGGCUAGAAAGCAGAACCUGCUCCUAGAGGCCAGCCACAGUUCUCAUCCUGGGAACCCCAUAGACAGUUCAAAUAUAGUAGCUGUGUUCUUCAAAACCGGAGAGAAUCUCUCUCUCUCUAGUCUGCUGUAAUAGAACAUAGUCACAGGAGUAAUCAUCUUACAUUCGCUUGGCUACAGGUUGAAAACAUCAUGAGAUGAAGGACAUUUCAUUUAUAAGAACCGUGGAAGAACCAGGGAAGCCAGAAGGCCAGGCAGGGCUGCCCUCCCAGAGAGAAGCAGUUACAGUAGAAGACUGCACCUUCCAGGGAGCUGUACAGAGCAGAGAUGGGCACACGUUUAAAGCAGGACCCCUGAGCAUGAGGGGUGCAGUGGGGACGCAGCUGACAGAUGACAGCAGAAGCAUCCCUGAUUGGCCUGACCACCAAGGAGGCACUGUGGGAAGAGAAGGACUGUCAAAGUUGCUUUAACUUUUUAUUGAGUAUAUCAUACACGAACAGAAAUGUGCACAUAAGUACACACCUGAAUGAAUUUUCACAGACAGGACACAGCCAUGGAAUGAGACCCAGAUCAAGAAGCAGAACCUGGACAGCACCCCAGAAGCUGCCUUUGUGCCCACUUCCACUCUUGAUCCCUCCCCCCGAGGAGGGAACCACUAUCGUGACUCAGCACAACGUGGACUCGCUUUGCCUGUUUUCAUAUACAUGGAAUCAUAUAAUAUACACUCAUUUUUGUCUGACAAUAUUGUUUGUGACAUCAUUCAUGUCAUUGCAUAGUUCUAGAGCACUUAUUUUCAUGCUAUGUCAUAUUUCAUUCUGGAAAUAUAUACUAAAUUGUUUGUUCUAUUGUUGAUGGGCAUUGGGGUAGUUUCUUAAUAGGAUUUGAGUUUGGUUGAGUUUGUUUGCUCUGUGGCAUACAAUAUCAUCAUCUUCUCUGUCUCAACACAAAAUCUUUAAUCAAUGAUGUGGGGCAUGAAAGGAUUUUGUAAAGUCAACGCAAAGAAGUGCCAAGUCCAGUGUCGGGGAUAAUGUGGCAUGGAACAGAAGCCACGUGCGAACCAGCCACAUCAGGUCGAUUUUAAUUUCUUGAGUUACUCAUUAGAUUUCAUUCAACAAAAGUGCAUCAAGUUACCUAAUCAGGCUGACUGGAACCAGGCAAAUUUAGACAAACGCCUCCAGUGGACAUCUUGUAUAAUUUUGCUUUUUUGCUUCCCUUCUUGAGAAAUUCCAUGUAGUCCAGAGCUGUUGAUUAUAAAAUCCCACUUAUAUACCAAGAGAAUGCACAUGGGACCUAAAAUAGACCAAUUAAAGUUUCAUUCUUAGGAAUUUUAA